UGACACACACUGUCACACACUCCUGUUAGACAUGACAUUUAUAGUUGUAUCAACCCUCCUGGCUGCCUGCUUAACAGGUGGACAUGGUCAGACACUGACUGAAUCUGAACCAGUGGUCAUCAGUCCUGGAGGAUCUCACAAACUGACCUGCACAGCCUCUGGGUACACAUUCAGUAGCUACUGGAUAGCUUGGAUUAGACAGGCUCCCGGGAAAGGAUUGGAAUGGAUCGCAAUCCAGCACGGCUCAACUAGCUACUACUCUCAGGCUUUUCAGGGUCGGUUCACCAUCUCUAGAGAUGACAGUAUUAACCAGGCAUAUCUGCAGAUGAACAGCCUGAAGACUGAAGACACAGCUGUGUAUUACUGUGCCAGAGAAUAGGGGGUU